CCUACGGGGGGCAGCAGUAGGGAAUAUUGCUCAAUGGGGGAAACCCUGAAGCAGCCAAGCCGCGUGAAGGACGAAGGUGCCAAGCAUUGUAAACUUCUUUUGUCAAGGGACAAAAUCAGGCUCGAGAGCCUGACCGAGGGUACUUGAAGAAAAAGCAUCGGCUAACUCCGUGCCAGCAGCCGCGGUAAUACGGAGGAUGCGAGCGUUAUCCGGUUUUAUUGGGUUUAGAGGGUGCGUAGGCGGGCUGUUAAGUCAGCGGUAAAAGCCCGGGGCUAAACCCCGGCGAGCCGUUGAAACUGGCUGGCUUGAGAUGUCGAGAGGUAGGCGGAAUGCGCAGUGUAGCGGUGAAAUGCUUAGAUAUUGCGCAGAACUCCGAGUGCGAAGGCAGCAUACCGGCGGCGAUCUGACGCUGAGGCACGAAAGCGUGGGUAUCGAACAGGAUUAGAUACCCCAGUAGUC
rnacentral:rRNA from 1 species